rnacentral:rRNA from 1 species
UACGUAGGGUGCAAGCGUCGUCCGGAAUUAUUGGGCGUAAAGAGCUCGUAGGCGGCCUGUCGCGUCGGCUGUGAAAACCCGGGGCUCAACCCCGGGCCUGCAGUCGAUACGGGCAGGCUAGAGUCCGGCAGGGGAGACUGGAAUUCCUGGUGUAGCGGUGAAAUGCGCAGAUAUCAGGAGGAACACCGGUGGCGAAGGCGGGUCUCUGGGCAGUAACUGACGCUGAGGCACGAAAGCGUGGGGAGCAAACAGG